rnacentral:rRNA from 1 species
UCCUGCGGAGGGAUCAUUACUGAGUUUACGCACUACAACCCUUUGUGAACAUUACUAUAACUGUUGCUUCGGCGGGUAGGGUCUCCGUGACCCUCCCGGCCUCCCGGCCCCCCGGGCGGGUCGGCGCCCGCCGGAGGAUAGCCAAACUCUGAUUUAACCACGUUUCUUCUGAGUGGUACAAGCAAUUAAUCAAUACUUUUAACAACGGAUAACUUGGUUCUGGCAUCGAUGAAGAACGCAGCCAAAUGCGAUAAGUAAUGUGGUUUGCAGAAUUCAGUGAAUCAUCGAAUCUUUGAACGCACAAUGCGCCCGCCAGCAUUCUGGCGGGCAUGCCUGUUCGAGCGUCAUUUCACCCCUCAAGCUCUGCUUGGUGUUGGGGCCCUACAGCCGAUGUUGGCCCUCAAAGGUAGUGGCGGACCCUCCCGGAGCCUCCUUUGCGUAGUAACUUUACGUCUCGCACUGGGAUCCGGAGGGUCUCUUGCCGUAAAACCCCCUAAUUUUCCAAAGGUUGACCUCGGAUCAGGUAGGAAUACCCGCUGAACUUAAGCAUA